UACGAAGGGGGCUAGCGUUGCUCGGAAUUACUGGGCGUAAAGGGCGCGUAGGCGGAUAGUUUAGUCAGAGGUGAAAGCCCAGGGCUCAACCUUGGAACUGCCUUUGAUACUGGCUAUCUUGAGUUCGGGAGAGGUGAGUGGAAUGCCGAGUGUAGAGGUGAAAAUUCGUAGAUAUUCGCAAGAACACCAGUGGCGAAGGCGGCUCACUGGCCCGAUACUGACGCUGAGGCACGAAAGCGUGGGGGAGCAAACAGG
rnacentral:rRNA from 1 species